UGGGCCCUGCAAGCCUCUUGCUUAGCCGUCUGUUCAGAAAAUAGCGUUUUCGAAAUGCCCUGAGUUGACCUAAUGUCUUAUUGGGCUCCUGUCUGCAGGAUUUACGCGCACGUUGGAACCGAAGAGAGCUCUGUUGUUGCAGUAAGUUCUUACGGCCAUUUCUUAAUCUCUGCUCUUUCGUUGAGUGUGUGGAAGUUGCUACGGGGAUGAUUUUACGAACUGAACUCUCUCUUUCUGAUGGAUUAGUGGAGAAAACAGAAAAUUCUGAGUAGCACUGUACUGUACGCAACAAAUGUCAGGGCCCUAUUGAUUUGUCUGAGGUGUUAGUGAAGGGUGUUAUUUUUUCAGAUGUUCAGCCCACAAGAGCUUACUGGUGAAGGAAUGGGACAAGACCCAUCUUUAUGCAAAGCCAGCGUUACAGUAAUGUUCCAGCAUCUCAUAAUCUAUCCUGGGGAAUUCAGCUGCCUCCCAGGGUGAAUACAGGUAUUCCUGAUGACAGUCUGCCUCUAUCUUACAGUAAGUUGUUUUUCGAAUUCUAUGGGCCUAUUAUCUAAUAGAUAACUUAGCCAUUUUGAUAUUUGUUACCAAAGCCUGCUUAACCCAUAAAGUUUUCUGGUUCCUCUUGUUCUCUGUAGUGAUGUUUCUAGAUAGAUGCCCACUGAUAUAUGCCCCUUUUUUCUCAGAUAGAUGCCCACUGAUCUGCCCAGGGUCAGACGAAUGCUUGUCAGUUGUAGCUUUCCAGGAUUCUGCUCCAAUGAGGAGGAAACAUCCUGCCUUACCCCUGUUUUAGCCUGGGAACCAGUAAUUGUGAACUCACCAGGGUUAACAUGAAGAGGGCAUGAGAGCUUAUUCCAUAAGGAAUUGUCUGAGACAUUUGGUUACCUUUUCUUAGUUUGUCCAUUAGCAACCGUAACUAAAAUAGUUUUGGCUGUUUGGGAUAAUUAGCUAAUUGAAUGAUUUUUUGAUUCAGGAGCAGCUUGUUGCUAUAUACCAUUGAAAAGCCUUCAGAGCUGAGAGGUUAGUUGAUAUUUUUUGUUCCUUACAGCUUAUGCCACCAAGUAGGCAGUUUCUAUGAUGAAUCAAACUAGCUCACUAUGACCGACAGUGAAAAUACAUGAACACCUGAGAAACUGGAGAACGCAGGGAGUGGGGGGUAACCAUGUCUGAGGAAUCUUUCACCCACAGCUUUGUUUUUCUCUAGGUACUACUAACCAAUAACCUGCUUGGCUCAAAGGGCCAGCACCUUCUCUCUAAAGCCCAAGAGGAGUUUGAGGUAAAUGGCUUUGCAAUAGUUACCAUCAAUGGCUGCUAUAUAAAAUUUUCUGUGAUUUUUGUGUGUGAUAGCACUGUGGUCUGGGUGAAUGUACACAGACAUAACUGGCUUAACCCAAAGUCUUUGAUCUCCUGAACCACCAGUGAUGAAUUGCUGCUCACCAGUGAUGAGUUGAAUACCGCCCCAGUCUGAUCAAUGUGUGACUGAAAGGUAUUUUCUGAGCUGUGAGCCUGCCUUCCAGUGACAUGUUCUAAAAAUUGCAAGUUAUUUGAGGAGGCUUUACAGCCAAUAGGAAGUUCUUGGGCUAAGUAGUGUUUCCUAUAAAAUGUGCCCUGAAACUUCUUUCUGCCAAGCAAUAGAUACAAUUGAGAGAUUGUAAAAUGUGACAUAGAAUGAAAGUCUCUCAAGACUACAUUUUUCUUUCUUGAUUUUGCAGGAAAACUAGGUGUCUGUGUUCACUCCAGGCUGAAGUUACAGGUCUGAGCAAAUAAGGUGUAUAAAAAAUGGAAUCUGUCUUGGAGGACAUCAGAAGGUGAAUUUUCCAAGUUCUUGGACAACCUAGCUGUUGAAAAGCUUUCUGGGUUUGGGGGGUAUUUCAGAUGUACCUUAAAGUGUUAGCAGACACAGAUUAAGACACUGGGAGCCAAUGAAACAGCAGUUGAGGGUUUGCUGUGUAUCACAUUUCUGUAUUUUAUCACCCCCUUCCUGCAACAUUAUUUAUCUGGAAUCUACCUGCCCUUUUGUUUUUUAGAUACAAGGGCUUGGUUUUGUUACCCAGGCUGGUUUCAAGGCCAUAGCUUUAAGAGAUCCUCUCACCACAGAUUUCCAAAGUGCUGGGAUUGCAGGUGUGAUUCAUGGCACCCAGACUUUGCUGCCUUUCUUACAUGAUCCAGGCCCAGAACCCAAACUCAGGCACUGUAUAGAUGACCACUUUCGUAAACUACUGACCUAGCUUGUUGCCAAUUGUUGAUUGAACUUCCCAUAACUCCACUUCGUGUCUGUUCCUCUGUAUACAGCCACCUUCUGUUCCCGUCAUGAGCCUUUAGGUCUCCAUUUGCAUAUUGCAAAUACUAUGUUCCAUGUAGGUAGCUCAUUCAGGGCCUUGCUCUUCACUUCAAAAAAGGUUCCCUUGAGGACUGGCUGUCAAUUUGUGUUGCUGUGUUGGUUGUUGAUGAAAAUAAUAAAAUGAUUGAUUAC
rnacentral:lncRNA from 1 species